rnacentral:tRNA from 2 species
GCCGCUUUAGCUCAGUUGGUAGAGCAUCGCAUUCGUAAUGCGGGGGUCACAGGUUCGAGUCCUGUAAGCGGCACCG